UUACUGAAUGUCCCAGGUACCCUCUUCUCUCCAGAAGUGUGUUUGUUCUCAGUGUGCAGUUACUGAAUGUCCCAGGUACCCUCUUCUCUCCAGAAGUGUGUUUGUUCUCAGUGUGCAGUUACUGAAUGUCCCAGGUACCCUCUUCUCUCCAGAAGUGUGUUUGUUCUCAGUGUGCAGUUACUGAAUGUCCCAGGUACCCUCUUCUCUCCAGAAGUGUGUUUGUUCUCAGUGUGCAGUUACUGAAUGUCCCAGGUACCCUCUUCUCUCCAGAAGUGUGUUUGUUCUCAGUGUGCAGUUACUGAAUGUCCCAGGUACCCUCUUCUCUCCAGAAGUGUGUUUGUUCUCAGUGUGCAGUUACUGAAUGUCCCAGGUACCCUCUUCUCUCCAGAAGUGUGUUUGUUCUCAGUGUGCAGUUACUGAAUGUCCCAGGUAUCCUCUUCUCUCCAGAAGUGUGUUUGUUCUCAGUGUGCAGUUACUGAAUGACCCAGGUAUCCUCUUCUCUCCAGAAGUGUGUUUGUUCUCAGUGUGCAGUUACUGGUGGAGUAAUUUUGCUUCUGCCUUAUGGGAGCGUAUAGAACUGGGGCCCACAAAGUGAAAAUAAAAGUAUCUGUACAAACAUA